GAAUGGCUCAGUUGGUUGGAGCAUGGUGCUGAUAACAGCAAGAUCGCAAGUUCGAUCCCUGCAUGGGACA